GGCAAGAAAGGCAACAGGGGGGCCAAAGGGGAUAAGGGAGACCAAGGAGCCCCGGGAUUAGAUGCCCCGUGUCCCUUGGGUGAUGAUGGUUUGCCAGUACCAGGGUGUUGGAAUAAAUGACAUUAAUUCCUGAGUGCCAUGUGUGAUUGUAAAUAGAAUAUUUAUUUUUGUACUUUUUUUGCCAUUGAUCUGUUAUAUCGAUGGAAAAUACAGCAAACCAUAAAAAUACUGGCAGGACUUUUGUACAGAUGUUUAUUUUUAUUACUGGUAAUGUUGUUUAUGUAAUGGACUUUAUACUGUACCUAUGCAUUAUGUCAAGAUGUUUUUUUUUGAUGGAGGAAGAAAUAUACUGUGGCAGCAUAUGCAUGAUAUUUGUGCAUUAUGUUAACUGAUAGGUGCCUAUUAACUUAUUGUAUCAUGGUGUUUUAAUGUGUUGUGUCGGACCACGCUGCACUGAUUAGUGGGGCUGGAGUUACAAAUUGGCCUUGUGUGUAAGAGGAAACCCUUUGCUCUGAGAUUAACAUGUUCACACCACACCUAAUGAGCUUACACUGUAACUGCAUAUGUUUACUGAACAUUAAAAUGACUUAUUUCAAAGUCCAUACUACAUGCAGUAGAAUUAUAGUAGAACAAGUCAGUUGUUUUAUAUGAGUUUCAGUGCUUACAUUUUGAACAUUUGCACUGCAUGGCUUGUUAAGUGAGUUUUCUCCAUAAUCACCUGCCAUUUUUUGCCAAAUAUAUUAUUGCUAAAACUGAAUUAGUGAAUGGCUUUAUGUAAAGAAAAGAAUGACUUAAGUCCACACGCAGUGCUUUGCCUUGAUGGGUUUCAUGUAAAUAUGCCUAAACCUUGCCCUUUGAGCAGCUAUUUUUUCUCUAUGUUUAUUCUUAUUUCUGGCAAUUUAAUAGCAUAGUCGAUAAAUGUAAUUUACAUACUUAGGCAAUGAAUUUAGUCUUAAUUUAUCUCGUACAUAUUGCUGCUCACUGUCAAGCACAUAUCUGUGUUUGUUAAUAAGCAUCAACACAACCACUCAAAAGUUUGAGGUCAGUCUUUUUUUUUU